UACGAGAGGCCCAAACGUUAUUCGGAAUUACUGGGCUUAAAGAGUUCGUAGGCGGCGCAGAAAGUAGGGUGUGAAAGCCCUCGGCUCAACCGAGGAAUUGCGCUCUAAACUACUGUGCUCGAGGGACCUAGAGGUGAGCGGAACUGAUGGCGGAGCGGUGAAAUGCGUUGAUAUCAUCAGGAACACCGGAGGCGAAGGCGGCUCACUGGGGGUCUUCUGACGCUGAGGAACGAAAGCCAGGGGAGCAAACGGG
rnacentral:rRNA from 1 species